CAAGGAAUUUUCGUCAAUGGGGGCAACCCUGAACGAGCAACGCCGCGUGCGGGACGACGGCCUUCGGGUUGUAAACCGCUUUUGGGGGGGAAGAAGAGGACGGUACCCUCCGAACAAGCCCCGGCUAACUCUGUGCCAGCAGCCGCGGUAAGACAGAGGGGGCAAGCGUUGUCCGGAGUAACUGGGCGUAAAGCGCCCGCAGGUGGUCGGGCAAGUGCGCUGUGAAAGCCCGCGGCUUAACCGCGGGAGGCCAGUGCAGACUGCCCGACUGGAGCGAUGCAGAGGGUGGUGGAAUUGCCGGUGUAGUGGUGAAAUGCGUAGAGAUCGGCAGGAACACCAAGGGGGAAGCCAGCCACCUGGGCAUCGGCUGACACUGAGGGGCGACAGCGUGGGGAGCCAACUGG
rnacentral:rRNA from 1 species